UUAAGCGACCAAGCGUACACGGUGGAUGCCCUGGCAGUCAGAGGCGAUGAAGGACGUGCUAAUCUGCGAUAAGCGCCGGUAAGGUGAUAUGAACCGUUAUAACCGGCGAUUUCCGAAUGGGGAAACCCAGUGUGAUUCGUCACACUAUCAUUACGUGAAUACAUAGCGUAAUGAAGCGAACCGGGGGAACUGAAACAUCUAAGUACCCCGAGGAAAAGAAAUCAACCGAGAUUCCCCCAGUAGCGGCGAGCGAACGGGGAGGAGCCCAGAGCCUGAAUCAGCAUGUGUGUUAGUGGAAGCGUCUGGAAAGGCGCGCGAUACAGGGUGACAGCCCCGUACACAAAAGCGCACAUGCUGUGAGCUCGAUGAGUAGGGCGGGACACGUGGUAUCCUGUCUGAAUAUGGGGGGACCAUCCUCCAAGGCUAAAUACUCCUGACUGACCGAUAGUGAACCAGUACCGUGAGGGAAAGGCGAAAAGAACCCCGGCGAGGGGAGUGAAACAGAACCUGAAACCGUGUACGUACAAGCAGUGGGAGCACAGGUUUACCUGUGUGACUGCGUACCUUUUGUAUAAUGGGUCAGCGACUUAUAUUCUGUAGCAAGGUUAACCGCAUAGGGGAGCCGAAGGGAAACCGAGUCUUAACCGGGCGUUAAGUUGCAGGGUAUAGACCCGAAACCCGGUGAUCUAGCCAUGGGCAGGUUGAAGGUUGGGUAACACUAACUGGAGGACCGAACCGACUAAUGUUGAAAAAUUAGCGGAUGACCUGUGGCUGGGGGUGAAAGGCCAAUCAAACCGGGAGAUAGCUGGUUCUCCCCGAAAGCUAUUUAGGUAGCGCCUCGUGAACUCAUCUCCGGGGGUAGAGCACUGUUUCGGCUAGGGGGCCAUCCCGGCUUACCAACCCGAUGCAAACUGCGAAUACCGGAGAAUGUUAUCACGGGAGACACACGGCGGGUGCUAACGUCCGUCGUGAAGAGGGAAACAACCCAGACCGCCAGCUAAGGUCCCAAAGUCAUGGUUAAGUGGGAAACGAUGUGGGAAGGCCCAGACAGCCAGGAUGUUGGCUUAGAAGCAGCCAUCAUUUAAAGAAAGCGUAAUAGCUCACUGGUCGAGUCGGCCUGCGCGGAAGAUGUAACGGGGCUAAACCAUGCACCGAAGCUGCGGCAGCGACACUGUGUGUUGUUGGGUAGGGGAGCGUUCUGUAAGCCUGCGAAGGUGGCCUGUGAGGGUUGCUGGAGGUAUCAGAAGUGCGAAUGCUGACAUAAGUAACGAUAAAGCGGGUGAAAAGCCCGCUCGCCGGAAGACCAAGGGUUCCUGUCCAACGUUAAUCGGGGCAGGGUGAGUCGACCCCUAAGGCGAGGCCGAAAGGCGUAGUCGAUGGGAAACGGGUUAAUAUUCCCGUACUUGGUGUUACUGCGAAGGGGGGACGGAGAAGGCUAUGUUGGCCGGGCGACGGUUGUCCCGGUUUAAGCAUGUAGGCGGAUGUUCCAGGUAAAUCCGGAACGUUACUAACGCUGAGGUGUGAUGACGAGGCACUACGGUGCUGAAGCAACAAAUGCCCUGCUUCCAGGAAAAGCCUCUAAGCAUCAGGUAACAUCAAAUCGUACCCCAAACCGACACAGGUGGUCAGGUAGAGAAUACCAAGGCGCUUGAGAGAACUCGGGUGAAGGAACUAGGCAAAAUGGUGCCGUAACUUCGGGAGAAGGCACGCUGACACGUAGGUGAAGUGGUUUACCCAUGGAGCUGAAGUCAGUCGAAGAUACCAGCUGGCUGCAACUGUUUAUUAAAAACACAGCACUGUGCAAACACGAAAGUGGACGUAUACGGUGUGACGCCUGCCCGGUGCCGGAAGGUUAAUUGAUGGGGUUAGCGCAAGCGAAGCUCCUGAUCGAAGCCCCGGUAAACGGCGGCCGUAACUAUAACGGUCCUAAGGUAGCGAAAUUCCUUGUCGGGUAAGUUCCGACCUGCACGAAUGGCGUAAUGAUGGCCAGGCUGUCUCCACCCGAGACUCAGUGAAAUUGAACUCGCUGUGAAGAUGCAGUGUACCCGCGGCAAGACGGAAAGACCCCGUGAACCUUUACUAUAGCUUGACACUGAACAUUGAGCCUUGAUGUGUAGGAUAGGUGGGAGGCUUUGAAGCGUGGACGCCAGUCUGCGUGGAGCCGACCUUGAAAUACCACCCUUUAAUGUUUGAUGUUCUAACGUGGACCCGUAAUCCGGGUUGCGGACAGUGUCUGGUGGGUAGUUUGACUGGGGCGGUCUCCUCCUAAAGAGUAACGGAGGAGCACGAAGGUUGGCUAAUCCUGGUCGGACAUCAGGAGGUUAGUGCAAUGGCAUAAGCCAGCUUGACUGCGAGCGUGACGGCGCGAGCAGGUGCGAAAGCAGGUCAUAGUGAUCCGGUGGUUCUGAAUGGAAGGGCCAUCGCUCAACGGAUAAAAGGUACUCCGGGGAUAACAGGCUGAUACCGCCCAAGAGUUCAUAUCGACGGCGGUGUUUGGCACCUCGAUGUCGGCUCAUCACAUCCUGGGGCUGAAGUAGGUCCCAAGGGUAUGGCUGUUCGCCAUUUAAAGUGGUACGCGAGCUGGGUUUAGAACGUCGUGAGACAGUUCGGUCCCUAUCUGCCGUGGGCGCUGGAGAACUGAGGGGGGCUGCUCCUAGUACGAGAGGACCGGAGUGGACGCAUCACUGGUGUUCGGGUUGUCAUGCCAAUGGCACUGCCCGGUAGCUAAAUGCGGAAGAGAUAAGUGCUGAAAGCAUCUAAGCACGAAACUUGCCCCGAGAUGAGUUCUCCCUGAGACUAUAAGUCUCCUGAAGGAACGUUGAAGACGACGACGUUGAUAGGCCGGGUGUGUAAGCGCAGCGAUGCGUUGAGCUAACCGGUACUAAUGAACCGUGAGGCUUAACCUU
rnacentral:rRNA from 1 species